AGUAAGUUAAGAUAAUUAGUCUAUUAGGUUCAUACCCUGAAGUUGAUCUUACUA
rnacentral:tRNA from 1 species